UUGAUUUCAACUCAAACCCACUUCAAUCGGCAUGAGAUAAGUAACUAUAUCUCAAUACACGCUCGUGCAAUUCGAGCUAUUGCCAUGCCUUUACAUGCUUUUACUACUUCUAAGCAUGCAUACAAUACAUCACACUUGAUAUGCAUUUACAUGUCUUCAUGAUCCUUAGGCAUGUUUACAAAAUACAAAAAUAUUAUUAGCAACUUCGCUACAAGUACAUGCUACACAUGCCACGCUUCUAUUUAAUUGUAAAAUUAAAUAAACAUGUGACACUCAAACAAACUAUGCCACAUCUAGAAGCUUGUGACACUUAUGACUUAAUUAAACAUGCUCGGAUAACGACUUGCAUGGAUUACGACUCGCUUGGGUAUCGAGCAUGGCCACGACUUGCUUGGGCCACGCCCCGCAUGCUCGCACAGCACCUACCCGCUCAACUACACCCAACUUACUCGAACACAACCUAACUUGCCCAAACACAUCCAACAUGCUUUAAUUAAGUUCCAAGUUCACAAUGCUUCAUACUAUUCACCGGGAGCUACUCCCAAAAUUUAAUAUGGACACCCAUGACACUUGCCACUAUCUAUUGUGCAUGUUACAUGGCCAUAAGAUAUGCAUAAAAUUACUUGCUAUGCUUAUUUGUUCUUCAUACAAUUGAGCAAGAUUUACAUGUACACUAUAUGUAAACACAUUGUCUAGCCUCCGGGCACCAUACUUUGUCAAAUCUCCCUACGGAAAAAAUAAACCUAAACGGGUCUAGACUCCACGAGUCUGUGGUCCACUACCAACCGCCAUGCGGUAAGGCAACGCCUCAUAAUGACAAUGACCGCUACGCGGCAUUGCAGUCAAGCUUUUCUCCUCCGGGAAAGAGUAAAGGGACCGGUUAACACAUCCCACGGCAGCCAUUGAUCCGGCGGUUAACCCCCGACGCUUAGGUAUCAAAGAUUAGGUUCGCUACCUAACACUUACUGCUCAUACGCAGCUCCCCUCAUCAAACAAUUUUCCGACCAUACGGAGGUCUAUAGCCAGGAGUUGGGGACUCCUCGGAGGGCCUAGCAGGAGGCCCACCCGAAAGGGCAUAAGCGUUCGCUCCGACAAAAUUCUAGAUGGACGACGCACUUGCACUAAUUAUGCUCGUUAUACGGCACAAAGCUACGCUUUGGUGUCAACCCCGCAAGAAAACCCUCAUUCACUAGGGACUCGGGGACUUGUACAUACAACCCAGCAUAAUUAGCGACGGUUACACUCAUGCCUUCAUGGCAUCCCCGAGCUUCCCGCUCCCGAGCUCUCACACUCACGCCUCCGCGGCACCCUCGAGCUUCCCGCUCACGAGCUCUAACGCUCAUGCCUCAGGUCAUCACAUCUGAGCUCCACCGCUCACGCCUUCCCGGCACCCUCGAGCUUCCCGCUCACGAGCUUUGACGCUCACGCCUUUACGACACCCCCGAGCUUCCCGCUCACGCCUUCUCGGCACCCCCGAGCUCCACCGCUCACUCCUUCCCGGCACCCUCGAGCUUCCCGCUCACGAGGUCUGACGCUCACGCCUUUACGGCACCCCCGAGCUUCCCGCUCACGCCUUCCCGGCACCCCCGAGCUUCCCGCUCACUCCUUCCCGGCACCUCCGAGCUUCACGCUCACAACUUCCUGGCUCCCCCGAGCUUCAAGCUCACGCCUUCCCGGCUCCCCCGAGCUUCACGCUCACGCCUUCCCGACAUCCCCGAGCUUUCACGCUCACGCCUUCCCGGCAUUUCCGAGCUUUCACGCUCACACCUUCACGGCACCCUCGAGCUUCCCUCUCACGCCUUCCCUGCAACCCUGAGUUUUAUGCUCACGCCUUCCCAGCAUUCUCGAGCUUUACACUCAUAUCCCCUCGAAAUAGUACACGUUAAUGGAACAUUGAAUUCUUCUACCAUUUGUUGUUUGCAACAAAUCGAAUUCUUUUCGCGUUCCAUUAAUACGAGCAAAAACCAAACAAACAUAAGCGUUCGCGUAGCCAUCGUUCAUGAGUUACAAACGCUUGCCUUCAUGGCACUCAUGCAACUUACACCGAGAGUAACCUCGUCAACUCGACCUCGUUCGUUCUCUUGCCAGCACCACGCGCAUCAUAUGCAAUUCAUAUGCUUAUUCGUGAUAUGUUCACAAAACUAAACACGUUCUUGAGUUUAUACGUCAUAAUCGAUCGUACUCGACGCCAUUCACAUGUACAGUGUUCUAAAACUCGGCCGCCCAGGCCGCCUAGGCGCUGGGCGGCAGUAGACCGAGGCGAGUUAUGGCAAAUCGGAAGCUUUAGGCGGAUAGGAUUUGGGCGGCCGCUUAGGCAGCCUGAUCGUCCGCCUGGACGCUCUGGGCGGUUUCCUCCUCCUUCUGCUUCUUCUUCUUUUCUUUUUUUUUUUUCCCUCUCGAAACCCAAACUCGACAGCAGCAAAACCCAAAACCCAUUCGACCCCAAAACUGGAAAAAUAGACCGCACCUUUAUUCGCUCUCCCCACCAAGCCAUCGUGCCUCUGCUCCACACGUCCACCGGAGCUCCCCCCAGCCCCUCCAGCCACCGCAGCUCCACGCCUCUAUUCUUGGUAAAUGAUUAAUGCAUUCUGUUAAUGAAAAAAUGGAUGAAGAGAGAAGGUGGAUAUGGUGGCUAACUGGCUACUGGUUUCGCAAAGGGGAGAGAGAGAGAGAAGGGAGUGAAGGUAGAGAUGGUGGCUACUGGUUUCGCAGAGGAGAGAAAGAGAGAAGGGAGGGGGUGGUUAAUUAUGGAGAGAGAGUACAAUUGUGGCAGAGAGAAGGAGGAUAAGAUGGGCACGUGCAGGCCAUCAAGAAGUAUAAUUGAUUAAUUGAAUACUGCUUCUUUUUUUGUUGGAUAAUUGAUUGAUUUAACUAUUUAAUUAAAUAAAUAGUUAAUUAAAUAAAUAUUUAGUUUUUUUUUUGUUGAGUAGGAUAAAUAUUUAGUUUAUUACUCUUUAUAAAUUUUAGUUUAUUACUCUUGGAGUCUUUAUAAAUUUAUAUAUUUUUAAUUACAUAAAUAAAAGUUAUAAAAAUAAAAUAAAAAUUAAAAAAAUAUAAAACCGCCUAGGCGCCGCCUAGACGCCUGGGCGCUCCUCCCUAGCCCACCGCCCGACUAGCGCCUAGCGAUUUUUCGAACCUUGCACAUGUAUACAUCAACAUGUAUCAUGCACCUCGUACAUUCGUAUAUGCCAACGCAUAUCAAUGCAACUCACAUUUGUUGCCCAAUACAACAAGCAUUCUACAUAUGCAUGCUUUUGUCUUUGUUGUGCAGGUUAACGAGUCCCUUCUUGCUUACAGAGUUCAGGGACUUGUAGGGGCUAGGCGCCUCUCGGACGUUACUUAUGCUUGAUGACAUCAUGUGUAUAACUCCCCAACCAAUAAGCUCCUCUUACUUGGGGACUUCAGGGACUUGUACAUACCUCCACUAUUAUGGAGGAUUUGCUUUGUCACCAAGCAUGUGUAACACCCUCUUUGGGGGGGCCCAGAAGCCAUGGUGGGACCCAACCGCGACAUGCAUCCCGUAGCCCGAUGUCCAAGCUACGUCACGGUAGUCGGAAGCGGCCAAUACCUAGCCGGAAAGCCACCUUCCCGACCUUGCUAAGUUGCCUCCAUAAUGAGCCUUUAUGCACUAGAAUAGUGGAUUUUGCAUCCCACAUUGAAGACAAUGUAAAGGAAGGAGCCUCCCUUCUCUAUAAAAGGAGACUCCUUCCCACUUACUCUACAUCCCAUUACAUCUCUUGUAAUCCCUUUGGGCCGCAAGGCCCAAACACACUAGUUAAGCUUUCAAGUGGACGUAGUCUCCCGCUAAGGUGGGAGACGAACCACUAUACUUCUUGUGUUUCAAUUACUCUCUCUCUCUCUCUCCCUUUCUUUAACGUUAUAUAAACCCUUCAGUCACAUACAUUAACAGUAAUAAAGGUACAAGCACGCCUCUUACACAAUAUGCAAGCACUCUUUUACACAACAGUCAUAUACGUGACUCUAAAAUGUCAAUCUUGCAACAAUAGAAAGGCACAUGCUCAGCAAACCAGACCUACCCUAGCAUGCUAAGCUUUAUCGUCUUAGAAGCUUAAAACGAAAAUUUUAGCCAAGCACACAAAUUCCAACACCAUACUUUAACCCAACAUUUCACAUGUAUAUCCAUACCCACCAAAUCAAGCUGAUACCUCUCAUAAGCACAUUGUGAGCUGCAGUGGACUUUUCUUAACUUACUGUAAUACAAGUUUCCGUUCAAGCCUCCAAGUCAAAAAGAAAAAUCCAAGCUUAAGGAUAAAGAGCUAGCCAAGCCAUUCGUGCUCUUUCCCAAAACUCACUACUUCAACCAUGCUGAUUUGAAACACUAAACACAUUCCGAAGGAAAUGACUAAAGCAUGCAAACAAUACUCAGUUAAACCAAGACCAUUAGGAUAUGCCAAAAAUAUACUCAAUCAAGCAACAAGCAAUAUUCAAUCAAGCAGUAAGCAAUACUCAAUCAAGCCAAAAUCAUUACAGCAAGAAAUCAAUACUCAAUCAAGCCAAUUCCAAGCAAGAGGCAGUCUUCAUCAUCACUCCCAAAACAAAGCAACCAGUAUCUCAAAUGAUAUGCUAUGACACUUGGGUCUGAGUUGAAGUUGUGGUCACUAACUCAUUCAUGAGACCAGCCUAUAUUGUAGUUCAAGCAUAUAUCUUUCAAAAUGCCGUCAACAAGCCAUUAUCUCCCUCAAGUUUUUAGCCAGAAUUAUGGGCAUGCCAUGGUCAAGUAUUUUCCACCGUGGCCAUGUGAUCCUAAUGUCAAGAUGACAUUUGCAUUCCAAGUAUUUCUUCAAGCCAAAGAGUCAAUGCUAGUCUUAAUACUAUGAUUUGUAUUCUGGAUUAUUCUUUCUCCCCGCAGCUCCUAGUCAUGUUUCACACUUUCACUACCACAAUAGAAAGUUUCUUGCCGUAGCCAAAACUUCCACUGCAGUAACUAUUCUACUCCAGAACCUAAACCCUGACAUUCAUCACAACACUCAACUCUAUACCUAACCAGGCCUGAUGUCAAACCAAGAUCAUUAUUACAAGUCUUUCUCAAACUAAAAUAAUUAGUACCAUAUCCAAAGUUUUACUCCUGCAGCAUGCAAAACCCUCUAUACAGUAAUCAUAAAUUCCUUUAUUAUACUAGAGUCUUAUGCUUGUAGUCAUGCAAAUACACUUACCAACAGUCUAGUUCAUGCAUGGCAUUCACAAUUUUCAGUAACUUGUGUCUCUACCAUGAAGAAAUCACAACUUCAAGCAACAAAAAGUUGAGAUCCACAAAUUCAAUCCUUUAGACACAGUACUUUUCAACAGCAAACCCUAUCAACUCAAACCCAAAACUCACAUUUAAACCUUUCCUUGAACCAAGGCUUUUUACCAUGUUUACUGCGGUAGUGAACACUCGUAUUUAUCAUCAAAACCAGCUUCAAAAACUUAACUUUUCCUAAAUCCAUAUCCAAACUCCAGAAUUUAAGAGUUUUAACUCUAUCCUAGAUCCUUUUUCUGCAGCUUUCCACAACUAUUACCUUAGACCUAUGUUUUGUGGUCAACUACCACCCACAGCAAAAUUGCAGAUAUUGUCAUUGCUCUUGGACCAAGUGUUCACGCAGUAAAUUAGUCAGGCAAGAAUCUAUGCUCAUAUGCUAACCAUCAAGCAAAAAUCUUUUUCAUACUCAAGGCAUUCAUUUAUGCACUCGUAGAGUUACAAGUCUACAAGUCACUGUUGGAAUUAACUACAUUCUAUUGCAAAAGCAUGGUUCUUGCAAUCAAGUCAUGAGUAGAACGAAGUCAAGCAACUAGUCACAAACUAGCUCAUAGAGAGAUAUUGAGACCACCUCAUGAGUCAUGCCAUAUGCGCAAUUAACAAAAGCAGUCCCUGAACUUAUUCAAUACAAUCGAUAGAUGCAAGUAAGCGUAUUUACAUAGGCUACCCAGGAGCUGUACUGAUACGAUGAAUCUCAAACAAGGGAUCGACUUGCAACACCAAAGCAUAGUCUGAUCUUGUAUUCCAAUUCCUCCUCAAUUUUGUAUCUGGGGGCUUUGCGAUUAAGGUCCAAUUCAUGGCCAAGUGUUGCGGUGAUCACCGCAGUCAAUGAAGAUUCAUGCCUACAUUGAAACUGCUUGCUCGCCAAUUGAAAUUUACAUGCCUCAGUUAUGCUCAUAAUUGAGUCGUGCUUUAUGAAUGUAAAUUUAUAUACAAUCCUAAAAUAAAAUCCAAUGGAGGUUAUAAAUGUGAGCAAUCUGUUUAAAAUUCUAUGAUGCAACAAGCAAUUACUCAAAAUUCAAGCCCUCACUUACCAUGAGUUCAUAAACCAAGUCUAACCAUCCUAGAUAUCAAGCUCUAAUUGUAGUUUUCAAACAUUUGAAGCCUACCCAUUCAAAAGCCAGAGAAAAAUUGCCACUGCAAUACUCAUCUUACCUCAUGGAGCUCAGCCCACGAAGAAGAAUUUCCCUUGAUUUAUCAGCCUUGGUACUGAAUUAGAAAAGCAUAUAUCCCUCAGAAUAUCUCUUAGUCUUGAACCUAUGAUUUGGUGAGAAAAUGGGGGAAAUUGGCCUUACCUCUUCAUUUAUCCUGCAGCAAUGUUAGAAAAGACCAUUUGUAUCAAAAGACUCGAGCCAAGUUUUUUCUACCUGUUAGUCUUGUUGCUUUGAUAAGCAAGGUAGCCCAAACAAAAUGGGCCAAGCAGAAUUCUUUCACAAGCCCAUGGCCACAAAGUACUCUAUUUUACUCGUUCAAUAUAGUGAUAUACUUAAGAGAACUCUUAUCAUCAUUCAUGCAUAUUACCAAUGCAUAUGGUAAAUCAUAAAUGCAAUAAGCCAAUGCAUACUUCGGGCCCGCACCGAGCUAAACACAACGCCAAGCGGAUUCACGACCAAAAGAGACACACCGAGCCUUAUUCAAGCUCAUGCCAAGCACAUACAAAUUAACAAUGCCGAGCACCUCUUUGUCAAGGUCGUGCAUCUAUCGGAGCCCAUGUGAGAGUCAUGCCAAGCUUAUUCUCUUAAGCAUAUACAUUUCAAAUUCCACGCACUCUUCCUUGGUCUGCUAAAUAAUUAAGGCAACCUUAAGCUAAAACUAUCAAUGCACACGCCUAACACAUGCCUAGGCAUAGUUACCACAAGCUCAAUGCACACACCUAAAACAAACUCUCAUUCUACACAUGCCAAACACAUAAUCAAGCAUGUAUAAGCCAGACAAAGAAAAUAUAUCUUUUACACAUCAUGCGAAGAAAACUAUCAAGCAUAUCCAUAAGCCAAAUGCAAAUGCCCAUGCUAUCUACUAAAUACUUUACAUGCUCUCUAUUUUCAUCUUCCACACCAUUUACUAUGACCAAGUAUCAUAUUUCACUCAUAUACUUAUAUACUUUGUUUCAACUUUCUUUUCAUUUGCCAAUUGUUUUGCAAAUAAUCGCAUCAUUACGCACGUUGUCAUCAACUUUAAAGUUAAAAAACGGUUCUACCCUUCUUUAGUUUAUUAUUCUUUCCACUUGCCAAAUUACUCACUCAUCUGCUAAUACUCAUGUUUUUCUUUUUUAAAAAGAAACUUACUUCGUAAUUCCCAUGAUUAUCUUCAUUUGCUCAUUUACUUAUUUCCCACAAACUAUGUCCAAUCCUUCAUGCAUUUUUCAUUAUGUUAAAAAUUUGUUCAUUUUCUUUUGUUCGCGCGCAGCUAUUCUACUAACUUUUACCAUAUUUUUCUCACACUUCGUUCAAUCGCAGACAUGCUUUACUUUCAAAUUCACUCUUAUUUUACUUGUUUCAUUAUCAAUUUUACUUUUGUUUAGCUCAUUUUCAUUAUCUUAUGCUUACUUAUUUUCUUCAUUGUCCUCGUAAACACAUGCACUCUUCCGUAAAGCAAAUCAUGCGAAUACUUCAAGUUCUCAUGCGACUAAUUCUUUCAAAUUUCAUGCUUCUAUACACUUGGUUUUCAUGCUUACCUUGGGUUACUUUCUUAUUGAUUAUAUAGUCUAUUUCAUAGUCAUUGCAUAGCCUACAUAAUCAAGGGGGCUAAUGUUGAUAUCCAAAAAAUCAAUAUUCAUGCCCAAUAGUUGAUCUAGGCCCAAAUACAAAUAUAAAUGCGCAAAACUACAAACUAUGGGCUUUAAUAGCUUAAAGCCCAUUAUGCUAGAAAGAACUCUUGAUCUUGCAAUUCACUUUCGAUUCUGGCUUAUUAAGUGUCAUGCCACGCACGUGGACCCAAGCCACAAUCAUGCUCUUGGGGCUUACAAGAUUGGGUGUGGUGUGGAAGGUAACGGAAGUACAUGAGACCCGUUCUUGAUUUUCGAUUUUCGGUGGUUUUGGACUUGGGACCAAAAUCCAGGCCCGACAAUCUAAAUCAUUACAUGGAUAUGCAAAGAUGAGAAAAUCCAAACCCAUAAGCUUAAACACAAUCAUCUACCUAAAAGUCUUUCCAACAACCCAAGUUUCAAUACUUUCUUUUAUCCAGCAGUAGUUAUCCUAUUCUACACCAGAUUAUGAGAAUCAUCAAUCUGUCCAUUCUUGCUUUGCUAAGGACCUUAACCCCAUAGACCUUAAGUCUCUUCCCCAAACACACACUAUAUUUCCCUUCACAUGGCUUUGAAACUAACAUCACUGUGGUGAUCUUUAUCACUGCAGUAAAGAUCAUAUCGUUGCAGUGGAAGUACAUGAUACAAACAUAAUUCCACGUUUUAAGCCUUGCUGCGAGGACAUGACACGCAAACCUAGUCUCGUUCUUAGUGAUAUAGUUUUCACCUUAUCAUUGUAAGUUUACUCAAGUUCCUGUAGUUUUCCACUUUCCUUUUGCCUAUAAAUUAAGGCUUCUUGUUCCUGCAAUGGGGCACAACCUCUAAGCCAUAGACAUCAAACUUGAGAUCGAAAUGAAAAAGAAAUGAAUUCUUUUGUGUAGUUGAGUUUGGCGUCGUGAGGCGUUGAUGAUCUAUGUUCAGCCCACAAGUGCACAUUGAGGGAAAGUAUGCCCUUUCAACAAAAGAGUGUUGAUAAAACGAUCUCAUCGGGUUUCGGGUGAUCAUGAGCAAACAAGAUGACUAACAAAAGGGAUAUGUGGAUUGAGUUCUUAUGGGUUGUUAGAUCAUAUAUUCGAAACAUCUAGGGCCACCCCCGGUUGGUAAAAUACACGGUAUGGGACGUGUAGGCUCUCUUGUUUUUGAUAUAUGGACUAAUGGGUACUUAAGUGAAGUUCAUUUGGCAUACAUGCAUCAUUUAUUAUUGUUUAUAAAGCAUUGGUUGAUAACUUGUUUGUGUAACAUAGUUAAGAUUAACUUAAAGAGGUUCGGGCCUACUGAGCGAAAGCUCACCCCUAUAGAUUCUUGUUCAGGUACGUUACAAGGUACGACACGUUUAUCGAGAGAACUAAGCGAGACGUUAGUACUGUUUACGGGACUCAUAAAAGAUUACAGAAGACGAGAGCGAGUUAGAUUCGAAGAGUGAGAUGUAAUUUCUCUUUAUUUGAGUCUUGUUAGUUCAAAUGUUUUAUUUUCGACGAUUUCUGAAAAUGUAUUUGGUAUUGUUUUUAAUUUCAUUUUACUUUUCUAUCGAUGACACCUCGGAUUGGGCGUGGGAUACCAAAUCUUACCUUCACCUGGUUCGGGGUGUCACAAAGUGAUAUCAGAGCUAACCGGGGAUUAGAAAACCUAGAUCUGUGGAAGCAGUAUAGAACUUUUAAGAACUAAGUUUGGAUCGUUAAAAGGUAUUAAGUGGUCGAGCGACUCUAGAUUUCGUAAGAGGAUUGUGCAACGACCAUUUUGUUACAAAUUGAUUCUUAUAUUUUUAAAGAAUGUUUUUGAGAUAUUUUCUUUGAAUACAAAAGUGAUAAAAGAUCAAUGUAGUUCUUAGCUGCACCUAAGAGCUCGUUUCUUGUAUCUUAGGAUAAGAUCUUCACCUAUGCAGUUGGGUGGGAAUCUUUUAUGAAGAUGUCGCUUUUGUCUGUUUUAAAUCUAUUAUGUUUCGUUGGUCAAAAGAAUUUCAGUCUUUAUUUUCAACCAUUUUACCGAGUUUGAGAGACUUGCGUAUCUUGAGGAUCUUUAAAAUCAUUUUCCUCAGUUACAUUUGUCACACCCCGAAUUUUGAAUAAAGAAAAUUCAAAUCCGAAACGCGAUAACAUAACAAGCACAAGGAAAACACGUAGAAAAUUUUUCAUUAAAAUUAAGCAACAAACAAACUGAACUCACAAUGUCAACACCGACUCGUUCUCUAGAGUCAAAUAUCACAUCACCAAGUGUUUACAAAUUAAACCGAAUAAUAAUUCAAUAAGUAAACGCACCCACCACAACUCACUACCCAGCGGAAGACUUAAAACUAAGAGCACCCUUCCACGUCCACGCCAUCGAACGUACACCUCAGCUUUGAUAAUGAUCACUCGAUAUUCACUACAAAAAAGAAUUCAAUUAGCUUCACCAAUUUGCGUCGGCGUGCAAUUGCCGUCGCCAAAGCCUACUUUUUUGCGACGGCAAAACUUGACCGUCGCAAUUGUGUAAAAGUUAUGCAACCGUAUUAAUUUCCGUCGCCACUUGUGGUCGCCAACCCCUACGAUUUACUUCGGCAAGAAUUUGCCGUCGCAAGGUAUUAACAAUUGGCGACUGCAAAAAACUUGCCGUCGCGUUAUCCUAAUUAACUCUGCUCCGCCCUCUUUCGUCUUUCAGUUCUUUGAGCCCGUAACUCCAUCUCGAUCUGAUACCCCGAUGAUUACCCAGAUCUCCUCCUCGUCUCCUCCUCUUUCCAUCUCCUCCUUGAGCUAUUUUCCUCUCUAGAUCUACCAAAUUCUGCAGAAUACAAUCGACGACUAAAUGAACCGAUUUAGGUCAACUCCAUCGAGUUUAUCAGGAGAUCUACCAACCAGUCGUUCCUCUCAAUGUCAAAAGCCUAAUCUAAUACAUUUCACCUCACCCACCUGCAGCCCCAAUCGGCUGCAACGAUCCCGAGUUCACCUAUCUCUUCAAGGUAUCAUCUUCAUGCUUCUACCUCUAAUAUAUGGCAUUUUGUUUACAAUUUGCGUUAACAAAUUGCUCAAAAUAGACAUAGCUAGCUGCUCUUCAUCCUGUCAUAAUAGAGGAAAAGAGGAGAUAGAAGAGAAAAGAAAGACGAACAGAAUAGACUAAUAGAGGAAAAGAGGAGAUCUCGGCGACAAGAGGAAGGUUGAAAAAGGGAUUGAAAUCGUGAGCUCACGACUCGAUCUUCAAUCAUCUUUUCAUUUGUUGGACCUCCAUGGAUAGCUUCACUCUGUUGUUAUUCUUUUGGCCCAGUGUUCGAAUAGAAGAGGAGUGAUAGAUUUGAGUUUGGUUUGAAGAGUAAGGAUUGCAGCAGUGAAUAUAUUAUUGAUCUGAUGGGUGCUUCUGGAACACUAAUUCCUGCUAAGAUGUGGUUCAUGAUGUGUCUCAGCAUAUGGAAGAGGUUCAAGAUGCAACCAGUGGCCAUGAAUUUAGAAGGGAGUCCAUAGGAGAAGGAGUUCAUCCACAUUCAACUAGGGAUCAAGAAAUUGAGCAUGCUCCAGUACUCACCAAGCCCCUCUAGUAAAUGAUAAAUAGUAUUGUGGUCAAGGAUGCUUUUGAACAAUAUUACGUUUGGCAACUUUUCCUUUCAGUUAUCUAGUAUGGAAGGACAUUAUAAUUAUGAAAGACUGUAGUUUGGUUAAUUUCAGUUUGUACUUGGUAGUGGAAUAUAACUUGGCACUUAUCUUUUGAUUAUAUAAUUUCAGCUGUGAGAUAGCUAUGAUUGAAAGAAUUAUUUUGGUGA